rnacentral:rRNA from 1 species
AUUGAACGCUGGCGGCAUGCCUUACACAUGCAAGUCGAACGGUAACAGGUCUUCGGAUGCUGACGAGUGGCGAACGGGUGAGUAAUACAUCGGAACGUGCCCGAUCGUGGGGGAUAACGAAGCGAAAGCUUUGCUAAUACCGCAUACGAUCUACGGAUGAAAGCAGGGGACCGCAAGGCCUUGCGCGAACGGAGCGGCCGAUGGCAGAUUAGGUAGUUGGUGGGAUAAAAGCUUACCAAGCCGACGAUCUGUAGCUGGUCUGAGAGGACGACCAGCCACACUGGGACUGAGACACGGCCCAGACUCCUACGGGAGGCAGCAGUGGGGAAUUUUGGACAAUGGGCGAAAGCCUGAUCCAGCCAUGCCGCGUGCAGGAUGAAGGCCUUCGGUUGUAACUAGCUUUGUUACGGACGAAAGAACUACUGGUUAAGUAACCUGGGGUCCGAUGUACGGUACCGUAACGAAUAAGACACCGGCUAACUACGUAGCCAGCAGCCGCGGUAAACG